UACGUAGGUGGCAAGCGUUGUCCGGAUUUACUGGGCGUAAAGCGCACGUAGGCGGCUUUGUAAGUUAGAGGUGAAAGCCCGGGGCUCAACUCCGGAAUUGCCUUUAAGACUGCAUCGCUAGAACGUCGGAGAGGUAAGUGGAAUUCCGAGUGUAGAGGUGAAAUUCGUAGAUAUUCGGAAGAACACCAGUGGCGAAGGCGACUUACUGGACGACUGUUGACGCUGAGGUGCGAAAGCGUGGGGAGCAAACAGG
rnacentral:rRNA from 1 species